GAUGAACGCUGGCGGCGUGCCUAAUACAUGCAAGUCGAGCGAACGGACGAGAAUCUUGCUUCUCUGAUGUUAGCGGCGUACGGGUGAGUAACACGUGGAUAACCUACCUAUAAGACUGGGAUAACUUCGGGAAACCGGUGCUAAUACCGGAUAAUAUUUUGAACCGCAUGGUUCAAAAGUGAAAGACGGUCUUGCUGUCACUUAUAGAUGUAUCCGCGCUGCAUUAGCUAUUUGGUAAGGUAACGGCUUACCAAGGCAACGAUGCAUAGCCGACCUGAGAGGGUGAACGGCCACACUGGAACUGAGACACGGUCCAGACUCCUACGGGAGGCAGAAGUAGGGAAUCUUCCGCAAUGGGCGAAAGACUGAAGGAGCAACGCCGCGUGAGUGAUGAAGGUCUUCGGAUCGUAAAACUCUGUUAUUAGGGAAGAACAUAUGUGUAAGUAACGGUGCACAUCGUGACGGUACCUAAUCAGAAAGCCACGGCUAACUACGUG
rnacentral:rRNA from 1 species